rnacentral:rRNA from 1 species
GAUGAACGCUAGCUACAGGCUUAACACAUGCAAGUCGAGGGGAAACGGCAUUGAGUGCUUGCACUCUUUGGACGUCGACCGGCGCACGGGUGAGUAACGCGUAUCCAACCUUCCCAUUACUGUGGGAUAACCUGCCGAAAGGCAGACUAAUACCGCAUAGUCUUCGAUGACGGCAUCAGAUUUGAAGUAAAGAUUUAUCGGUAAUGGAUGGGGAUGCGUCUGAUUAGCUUGUUGGCGGGGUAACGGCCCACCAAGGCAACGAUCAGUAGGGGUUCUGAGAGGAAGGUCCCCCACAUUGGAACUGAGACACGGUCCAAACUCCUACGGGAGGCAGCAGUGAGGAAUAUUGGUCAAUGGACGGAAGUCUGAACCAGCCAAGUAGCGUGCAGGAUGACGGCCCUAUGGGUUGUAAACUGCUUUUGUAUGGGGAUAAAGUUAGGGACGUGUCCCUAUUUGCAGGUACCAUACGAAUAAGGACCGGCUAAUUCCGUGCCAGCAGCCGCGGUAAUACGGAAGGUCCAGGCGUUAUCCGGAUUUAUUGGGUUUAAAGGGAGCGUAGGCUGGAGAUUAAGUGUGUUGUGAAAUGUAGACGCUCAACGUCUGAAUUGCAGCGCAUACUGGUUUCCUUGAGUACGCACAACGUUGGCGGAAUUCGUCGUGUAGCGGUGAAAUGCUUAGAUAUGACGAAGAACUCCGAUUGCGAAGGCAGCUGACGGGAGCGCAACUGACGCUUAAGCUCGAAGGUGCCGGUAUCAAACAGG